CAGAGAUCAGCAAACUGCUGGAUGAUGCAUUAACUGGGGGAGGAGGGACAGUCACAAGGAAAGAAGUCUGGCAAGGAGGCUGGGGAAAUACCGACAUUGAUGGAGAUAACAUAAAACUCAUUAUACGCCACUACAAUGAGGACAUCGAUGACAAUCUGGGUAAUGGAAAAAUACCACCCGGGCUUGCUGCCCGGGGCAACAGGCCACAUGGACAUCAUCCCGAAUGUGGGGCUGAGCUCAACUUUGGAAGAAUAGUUCCAAGUUCAUCCCAGCCAGACACUCCAGCCAGACCAGACAUCUCACAUUCCAUGCCGAGUCCUGCCCUGGGGCACUUGUUUCUGCUGUUCCUCCCAUCAGGAUGUCCCUCUCUCCUAGGCAUUGAACCCUUACCCCUGAGCGCUUAACUCCUAGAUUUUCUUUGAGGCCCCUGUCAAGAUGGAGUUCUUUUGGGGAAGCUUUCCUGGAAAAGCCCAUAGUCAUGUAGUUUCUCCCCUUACUCUAUCUGCUUUCAGAUUUCCUCCUUCAAAUCAACUGCACCUUUUCUUAAUUAUGUUGGGGGCUGUCUGGACACUGCUCCAGAGCUUUCCAUAUACAGCCUUACACCAUGCUUCUCGCUCCUGCUGGACUGUCAGUUCCACAGAGGUAGGACCUCCUCUGUAUGCACCCUUCGCAUAAUUCAGUGCAUUUAGUUUGGGGUUCUGCAUCCCACCAAAGCUUUCUAAUUGCAUUUGAGCAGGAAUGGAGAAUUUUGACAUUUUCUCUAUACCAGGAGGGAUUGUCUGCCUCAGGAAAUAGGUACAGGUACAAGGAGCUCAGUGCUAUGA